UACGUUCAUCCCACUUUUGGGUGGGACGCAAGUAAGUCGCGGAACGGAGCGUUCAUCCCAUGAUUGAAUUACUAUUCUAUUCGUCACUCACAUGUGCUCAAGCUGAUAGCAUUAUGCUACGGAUGAGAACAAACGAGAAUAUUCCUCCCGAAUAUAAGGUGGAAUUGAUUGAGGUCAUGAAGGAAUCAACACCUGAUUGCUACCCAUGGGACGCAAACGACUGAAGGAACGGGGG
rnacentral:ncRNA from 1 species